AAAAUGCGAUAAGUAAUGUGAAUUGCAGAAUUCAGUGAAUCAUCGAAUCUUUGAACGCACAUUGCGCCCGCCAGUAUUCUGGCGGGCAUGCCUGUCUGAGCGUCAUUUCAACCCUCGGGACCACGUUCGCGGGACCCGGCGUUGGGGAUCAGCCCGAAGCCCCCCGGGGCGGGCGGCUGGCCCCGAAAUCUAGUGGCGGUCCCCCCAGCGACCUCCUCUGCGCAGUAGUAACUCACCUCGCAGCUGGACAGCGGGAGGGCCACGCCGUAAAACCCCCAACUUCUCAAAGGUUGACCUCAGAUCAGGUAGGAAUACCCGCUGAACUUAAGC
rnacentral:misc_RNA from 1 species